rnacentral:rRNA from 1 species
CGUGUAGGCGGUCGAGUAAGUGGGAUGUGAAAUGCCCCGGCUCACCCGGGGACCGGCAUUUCAAACUGCUCGGCUCGAGUAUGGGAGAGGAUGAGGGAAUUCCUGGUGUAGCGGUGAAAUGCGUAGAUAUCAGGAGGAACACCGGUGGCGAAAGCGCUCAUCUGGCCCAAUACUGACGCUGAGGCGCGAAAGCUAGGGAGCAAACG